rnacentral:rRNA from 1 species
UGAAUACGUUCCCGGACCUUGUACACACCGCCCGUCAAGCCAUGGAAGCCGGGUGUACCUAAAGUCGAUAACCGCAAGGAGUCGCCUAGGGUAAAACUGGUGACUGGGGCU